UGUUUGAUGUUCUAACGUGGACCCGUGAUCCGGGUUGCGGACAGUGUCUGGUGGGUAGUUUGACUGGGGCGGUCUCCUCCUAAAGAGUAACGGAGGAGCACGAAGGUUGGCUAAUCCUGGUCGGACAUCAGGAGGUUAGUGCAAUGGCAUAAGCCAGCUUGACUGCGAGCGUGACGGCGCGAGCAGGUGCGAAAGCAGGUCAUAGUGAUCCGGUGGUUCUGAAUGGAAGGGCCAUCGCUCAACGGAUAAAAGGUACUCCGGGGAUAACAGGCUGAUACCGCCCAAGAGUUCAUAUCGACGGCGGUGUUUGGCACCUCGAUGUCGGCUCAUCACAUCCUGGGGCUGAAGUAGGUCCCAAGGGUAUGGCUGUUCGCCAUUUAAAGUGGUACGCGAGCUGGGUUUAGAACGUCGUGAGACAGUUCGGUCC
rnacentral:rRNA from 1 species